rnacentral:sRNA from 1 species
UUUCCGCGCGAGGGAUAGCAACGGAAAGCCCACAGUCCCGUCUCGUCAAAAAAGACGAGACGGGACGAGGACUUGCAGUGAAUAGCCCGACCCAGC